UUGAGAUACAUUCCAUUAUCCAUUUGGGGAAGGUGCUUGGGAAGCCAAUCUGUUCCAUAACUUGCUGUAGAAAUACCCAUUCCACUGAAUCAUACGCUUUCUGGAGGUCUAUUUUUAUCAUGCAUCUGGGGGACACAUGUUGUCUAGUAUAGCUUUUGACAAGUUCAUGUGCUAGGAUGAUGUUGUCCUGGAUCUUUCUACCUGGGAUGAAUCCUGCCUGACCUUAUGCAGCCUAUUAGCAAGUACUUUUGAGAUGAGUUUGUAGAGCACUGAACAACAAGCAAUAGGCA
rnacentral:lncRNA from 1 species